rnacentral:rRNA from 1 species
UACGGAGGAUGCGAGCGUUAUCCGGAUUUAUUGGGUUUAAAGGGUGCGUAGGCGGUCCGGGAAGUCAGCGGUAAAAGCCCGGGGCUCAACCCCGGCGAGCCGUUGAAACUGUCGGACUAGAGACGGCGAGAAGUACGCGGAAUGCGCGGUGUAGCGGUGAAAUGCAUAGAUAUCGCGCAGAACUCCGAUUGCGAAGGCAGCGUACCGGCGCCGGACUGACGCUGAGGCACGAAAGCGUGGGUAUCGAACAGG